CAGCAAAUAGCGUAAAUCCUUUCUAUGCUUUCAGGAAGAUUCGCAGGAAUAAAUAAAAUCCUUAAAAUAAACCUGCGUGCGGACAGCGCCGGAAUACCGAUCCUUGGGCUACCCACGAAGAGAGAUAAAUUCCGAAAAAGGGCCGGGCAAGAGUUGUAACGAAUUAAGAAGAGGAAUCAUAUUUCAAGUAAAGUAUUCAAUGAAAUGUUUUGUUAUCUUAUGUGAUGCGACGAAACAGCAACCUCGGUGCGGAGCGAUAUGACGCGGUGGGUCAGAAUGAUUGUUGCUAUUCUAGUUUUGCUUAGUUCACCUUGCGCUCUCGUGUUGAGUGUACGCGUUUUAUUUUUAUUGCUGUUAGAUGUUUCUAGUCAUUCCUCGUGUUUCUCUUGUGUGUUUAAUUAAUCGCGUAAUUGUGUUGUAUUUCUCCUGUCAUCGACUGAAUUUAAUUGUCACUACUACGUGAGUGUACAUUUGUUGAUAAUUUAAAGCACGUGGAAACGGGAAUUAUGUAAUUGUUAACUUGUGCGUGCCCGAUUGCCGACAGACGUCUUCCGAUCGCUUAAUAUCCUUAUUGGAUGAAUAUGUAUUGUUGAGUUUAUGAAAGAACGAAGUAAGUGUUUUGUUUUGUUUGGUAUUUUCAUCUAUGAACAUUAGUAACUAAUUAAUGGGCUUUCCUAUGUAAUAUUGUUUUUCAGGAUUAAUGAUUCUAUCAAUAAAAACAAUACUUUUAAAAUAA